rnacentral:tRNA from 1 species
GGGGUUGUGGCUCAGUGGUAGAGUGCUUGCCUAGCACACAUGAGGCCCUGGGUUCAAUCCUCAGCACCACA